rnacentral:tRNA from 1 species
GGGUGUGUAGCUCAGUUGGUAGAGCAGCGCGUUUACACCGCGCCGGUCGCAGGUUCGAGUCCUGUCGCACCCA